CGGCGUCGGCAUCGAGCGAGGCAAUGUUAGACGCGCUUUGCAAGAGGGAACCCGGUGGGAGUCCGGGACUGUCCCGCAGCGGUAUGCAGGAACGACCGCCGUCACCAGCACUGGUCUUUGACGAAAGACUGGGAAGCGACGGCCAUUAGGAGCACCACCCGGUGCGCGCCUGCGAGUCCGAAGACCUGCCAGCUGUGCCGGACGCGC
rfam:Mycobacterium sp. E1214 contig_102, whole genome shotgun sequence.